rfam:Pristionchus pacificus strain PS312 contig2643, whole genome shotgun sequence.
CGGACUUUCAACAGGCCAUACACCUAAUGUUAUGUAUGGCACUGCUGAAGGUCCGAA